GACGAACGCUGGCGGCGUGCCUAAUACAUGCAAGUAGAACGCACAGUUUAUACCGUAGCUUGCUACACCAUAGACUGUGAGUUGCGAACGGGUGAGUAACGCGUAGGUAACCUGCCUGGUAGCGGGGGAUAACUAUUGGAAACGAUAGCUAAUACCGCAUAAUAUUAAUUAUUGCAUGAUAAUUGAUUGAAAGAUGCAACUGCAUCACUACCAGAUGGACCUGCGUUGUAUUAGCUAGUAGGUGAGGUAACGGCUCACCUAGGCGACGAUACAUAGCCGACCUGAGAGGGUGAUCGGCCACACUGGGACUGAGACACGGCCCAGACUCCUACGGGAGGCAGCAGUAGGGAAUCCUCGGCAAUGGACGAAAGUCUGACCGAGCAACGCCGCGUGAGUGAAGAAGGUUUUCGGAUCGUAAAGCUCUGUUGUAAGAGAAGAACGGGUGUGAGAGUGGAAAGUUCACACUGUGACGGUAUCUUACCAGAAAGGGACGGCUAACUACGUG
rnacentral:rRNA from 1 species